ACACAGCCGCCGGCUCAAACUGGAAACCUGGCCAUCCCCUGAGACUGACCUGUAAAACCAGCGGGAUUGAUCUCAGCAGGUAUGCCAUGAGCUGGGUCCGGCAGGUUCCUGGGAAGGGGCGGGAAUGGCUCCUCAUGUAUUACAACUCAUCCAGCAAUGCAUUUGCGCCUGGGAUUGAAGACCGUGUCACUGUCAUCAAAGAGAAUUCCAAUAACAUCUUUGACUUGAUCAUCAAAAGUGGACGACACCGCCAUCUAUUACUGUGCAAGAGGGUCACAGUGAGAGGAAACGGGGCUGAACUCCUACAAAUACACAAGGGGAGGAAAGGCAGCCCCUCCCACCCUAAACUGCCUGACAGUCAUGGUGUCAAUGCUGUGUCUGGAGCGAAGAUUAAAGGAAAAGCUUCAAAUGGAUUUCUUCUCAUGUUAAACCUACACAGUGAGUCGUGGUUUGAUGGGGCGAAUGACCUGCUUAUUGGUGCUGCAAUAUUCUGGGAUUUCAGUUGCUGUAACUACUCCUCCCAGUCUUUACGCCCUGCUGCCAUACUGUGGACAAUCCUCUUCUGGAGGAUCAGUGACUGUUGGGUGUCUGGACUCCAGCUACAGCCCCGAUUCCGCCAUCUUCACCUGGAGAUCAAAUGAACAACUCAUCACUGACCAAGUCAAGACGUAUCCCCCAGUAUUCAACAAGAAUGGUCUCUACACUCUGAGCAGCCAGUUAACAAUCGCUGAAUACCAGCUGGACAACAUCCAUUGUAAGGUUGCACAUAAAAGCAACACAUGGCCACCCGUGGAGAUCCCCAUACCAGUUUUGUACACGAAACAACCUUCAGUGUAUCUGCUUCUCCCAUCGGCAGAAGAAUUGUCUGCUCAGCAGUCUUUCACCCUCAGUUGCCUGGUGAAGAAAUUCGCUCCCAAAGAGAUCUUUGUGGAGUGGACUGUGAAUUACCAAUCGAUUGAUGCCAACAAAUACAAGAACACUGAGUUGAUGGCAGAAAGUACAGAUUACUCCACGUACAGCAUGUUAUCCAUCUCAGCCGGAGAUUGGGACAGAGGCUAUUCCUACUCCUGUGUGGUCGGACAUGAAACUUUCCCACUGAAGACCCUGACCAGAGCCGUUAAUAAAUCCAGCGGUAAACCGAGUUUUGUAAACAUUUCCCUUGUCCUGAUGGACACCGUGAAUGCCUGUCAAUGAGGCUCUCAAUACCAUUUUGCUUAUUUUUUGUGCACCCGCCUCCCGACCAUUCCAAUGUCAGUUUGGAGUCAUGAAAAAGUAACUCAAAUAAAGAUCAUUGUUGUA